rnacentral:rRNA from 1 species
GAUGAACGCUAGCUACAGGCUUAACACAUGCAAGUCGCGGGGCAGCAUGGGGGUUGCUUGCAACCCCUGAUGGCGACCGGCGCACGGGUGAGUAACGCGUAUCCAACCUGCCCUUCACCACGGGAUAACCCGGCGAAAGUCGGACUAAUACCGUAUGUUGUCCAUUGACGGCAUCCGAUUUGGACGAAGGGCUUGGCGGUGAAAGGAUGGGGAUGCGUCCGAUUAGCUUGACGGCGGGGUAACGGCCCACCGUGGCUACGAUCGGUAGGGGUUCUGAGAGGAAGGUCCCCCACACUGGAACUGAGACACGGUCCAGACUCCUACGGGAGGCAGCAGUGAGGAAUAUUGGUCAAUGGGCGUAAGCCUGAACCAGCCAAGUAGCGUGCAGGAUGACGGCCCUAUGGGUUGUAAACUGCUUUUAUGCGGGGAUAAAGUGGCCCACGUGUGGGCUUUUGCAGGUACCGCAUGAAUAAGGACCGGCUAAUUCCGUG